rnacentral:lncRNA from 1 species
CCACGGGUGUUCGCAUGCAGCAAGACAACAUCAUUUGAAAGGAAGACAUCAAGAAUUAGCUCACCAUGUGAAGAACAAGAACUUGCUAUUGGGAGUCAUGAUAGUGAUAUUGAGGCUGACUGUGCUCAUUUGCAAGAAGUGCUUUUCAAUUACAAUGAAAACAUUGUGCACAGAAGAGUUGUACAAAGGGGAACUUCACGAUGUGUUUCUGUCACUCCAAGAGGCCGCACAACCUCUUGCAAUGAAGAUGAAAGCCUUGUAAUGUCUACAUCCUUCUCUAUGCUUAUCUUAGGUAUAUAAUUACUUGUGU